rnacentral:rRNA from 1 species
UACGUAGGGGGCAAGCGUUGUCCGGAUUUAUUGGGCGUAAAGAGCGUGUAGGCGGCCAAGCAGGUCAGCUGUGAAAACUCGAGGCUCAACCUCGAGACGUCGGUUGAAACCGCUUGGCUAGAGUCCGGAAGAGGAGAGUGGAAUUCCCGGUGUAGCGGUGAAAUGCGCAGAUAUCGGGAAGAACACCCGUGGCGAAGGCGGCUCUCUGGAACGCAACUGACGCUGAGACGCGAAAGCGUGGGGAGCAAACAGG